rnacentral:rRNA from 1 species
GGUCUGUCCUUAGUACGAGAGGACCGGCAUGGACGCACCUCCGGUGCACCAGAUGUUCCGCCAGGAGCAUAGCUGGGUAGCCGCGUGCGGUUCUGAUAAACGCUGAAAGCAUCUAAGCGUGAAGCAGGCUUCAAGAUAAGAUUUCCCCCACCGCAAGGUGGUAAGGUCACUUGUAGACCACAAGUUUGAUAGGUCGGAGGUGUAAGCACAGUAAUGUGUUCAGCUGACCGAUACUAAUAGACCGAGCGCUUGAACUUC